UCUGCUCGGCCUUGGUAACUCCCACUACGGGUCUUCGACUCAGGACACAAAAUUCUGGCUCUUGGCACAGAAGAAUAUCAUUUGGAAUCAUCCACCAGCCGAAACGGACAGCAACAGGGGAAGAGUUGAAGAAAAAGCAAACAGAAAACUCAUCGAUCUCCGGCUCAAUGAACUCCGUGCUGGCCUGUCAACUUCUUGUAGGGCUGAGUAAAUUUUCCAAGCCGUCGAUAUCCCAAACGCCUAAACGCCCCCCAAAAGUAACGGCAAAGCAUCAAAGCGACCCAGUAGGAAUCUAACUCCAGGGAGUAAACAUCGAAGCC
rnacentral:sRNA from 2 species